UUCGUUCGUUUCACAUACGUAGGGUUGUUGACAUUCCGUACACAUCUGUUUGUGUUUGAUAUUUCAAUAAGUCUUUGAAAUUUGUCGCGUUCGUCUGUGGUAUGUUCAUUACCAAUGUUUGGAUUCUAUAACGUUCUUGACGUUGACCAUUUGUACGUGUUUUUGUAUCUGCCGUGUGGUUUUCAAACAGGUUUUGCGUCUCAAUAGGUAAAUUUUUUAAAAUGUAGAUCGUUUCGGACACACUUUGGAAACUUAUUCUCAAAUGUGGGUUAAGGUUUUGUCGUAUUGAAAGGACAUUAUGUAUAUUUAGAGGCUGUAUGUAUACGGUAGCAAUCUCGGAGAUCAAUUGUGCACCAUUAUUAUCGCCGUUGUUGACAUUGAAUAUCAUUUCUUUUAGACUUUCGACUAACGUAGCAGCUGAAUGCAACAUGUUUAUUGAGGAAAUCAAAAAGCAGUCUGAUUCAUUGACAUUCUCCAGUUUCAAAUGUUCGAUAGUUGGUACAAAUUCACGUGUAAUCGUCGUUUUAUUCUGCUUCACUCUCCGUAUAGGUUGUUCAUUGUUUUUUCUUGAACUUUCAUAUGUUUAAUAACAUACUUUAUUAACAUUUUAAAACAUUCUGCAAUGGUGAUGUUAUGUGUGUUCUUGGAGGAAGAAAUCGCGUUUGCAGAUUUUACUUUGAUGAGCUUUGUCUCUAAAGGCUCAAUACGGAUGCAGCAACAAAUGUUUAUAAGAAACAUAACUGGUAUAUCACAAGAAAUUCACGGUAGCUCGAGUUAUGACCUUGCUUAGGAGUAUGCCGCCUACCCACGUACUCAAAAAUGUUGAAAUAGAUCGAACCAGAGACUUUGUACAUGGCAGUCACCGAGAACGGACAAUAGUACUCACUCAUAACGACGGCAGACUUUUAAUUACCAUGUGUGAAGCUACCUUUCCUUUCAGUCAGAAUGCGCGAUCUUGUUGUACAGUCUGCCCUCGUCCGCUCUAGUCACCCGAACAUGUAAAGUAAAUGGCACCACCAAAAGUUCCAAUAAUGAAUUAGUAGGGUCUGGUGUCCUAUAUGAGGACACGAACUGCCAGUUUUAUUCCGAGGCCUUCAUGUUGCAACCCAUAUUUGAUGGAUUAACGAACUUUCCGCUCACUUAUAGUCACAUAGUGCAGCCUCAUCUGCCGGAGUCCGUCUCUACCCAGGAGAACGACCAGAGUUCGCAGAACGACGAGCAGACAACCAGGACGCUUGCGGCCUUGAAGGCCGUCGCCCGAAGGAGUUCGCCUUCUACCCCGCAACCACUGAGGGAUCUGCUGGAGGCCAGGGUAUUUCCCUACGGCCGGCAUCAGAUGGGUCUUGCUGAAUUGAACUUACCAGCGCCGAGACGGGUGUCACGACGUCCAACCCUGCUGCUCCCAACAGAAUGGAGACAGCAACUGUAUCAGGGGCAGCCUCAAAGAGCCGCCCCCAGGCAGCCGAGCGCGUGGGGUUCGCUCAGCCCGGGAAGUUCCAGCUGCGGAAGUAACAAGAUGGCAACCCACUGUAUCGACAUGUAACAUUAUUCGGAGAAAACAGAGACUAAUUUAGGACGUUGUUGAACAAUUUGCCUACCUGUGAAAAUUCAUUGUAAGUUGCAGUGACCAGUUGGUUGGGUGAGAGUUCCAUCUUUAUUUUACAACUUGAUGUCUUGUGUAAUUCGUAAUUUGUAACUUGUAAUUUUUCUUAUAGUGUGGUAGUUGAUAAUUGCCGAACCAGACCACGUAAUUUGGCCGACUAUCGGCGAAUAAGAUGCACAUUUGUUGUAGAUGGUUAACUUGAGGAUUGGAAUGUAAAACCUUGGAAUGAACAUUGUAAAGGAGAUUUGACGCACAGAAUAACGCAAUAACCACUGACCAUCGCUUACCUGCAAUUGCCGUACCCAUGGGGAUGAAAACUUAACUUGUGGAAGUUACGUUUUCAUUUAAGGAGGGGGCAAGUUCUUGUGUCGGCACCCCUUCUCACCCUUACUUGGACCACAUGUUUUUAAACUGGUUAAUCUUAAUUGUAGUUGCCCCACAUCUGGUGUGAAGCUUGGGGUGGCCACUGGAAUUUUAAUGACGAUGCAGUGGUAAGGUUCACUCCCAUCUGCGUGCGUUAGCUUCAAAAAGGGCCUCCAUGUUGGACUAAACAAAGCAUGCAUGUGUCUUCCAUAUAUGGGCAUGGAAUAUUUUUGGCCAAUCAGAAGCGAUAAUUUUAGGGCGGUUCCAAGGGCGCACAUCAUCGUGAGCGUCCCUACGAAUUCUAUUUGAAGCGCGAGAUUAUCUCGCGUCGAUUCUCUUUUGGGCAACAAUUGAAGGCGGAACCUGUGUCGCUGGUGGCCACAAUGUGGAACUGCGGUAAUUUGCAGCUGGGGUGAGAGGAACCUAUUGCCUAUUGACUAGCUGCUAUUAGCCAACCUAAAAGCAUUCGUUCCACAACCACUGAAGGAACAACAGACAAAUGAGUCAAUGGUG